GGGGGGAAGGGGUGUGUGGAGGAAUAAACAGGAAUUAUUUGUUUCAGGAACUUCAUUGACUAUCAGCAUUUAUUGGUUAUUUGAAUUGCAUAUAUUCAUCAGUUUGCAUUCUGCGCAAUGAAAUCAACAGUAGAAAUUUCUCAUUCUAUGGUUGAUAACUUCAAUAUUAUUAAUUCUCAUUACAAUAACAUGCCAAGUAAUCUUAAAGGUAAGACGGACACCAGUGGAAACAGCUCCAUCAAGG
rnacentral:misc_RNA from 1 species